UGAGAGCGUGCUGCACUGAUUCCCCCAUU
rnacentral:piRNA from 1 species